UGAGGAAUUUUGCGCAAUGGGGGAAACCCUGACGCAGCAAUGCCGCGUGAGUGAAGAAGGCUUUCGGGUCGUAAAGCUCUGUCGGAUGGGAAGAAACUGUUAACCAAUAAUAUUGGUUGACAUUGACGGUACCAUCAAAGGAAGCACCGGCUAACUCCGUGCCAGCAGCCGCGGUAAUACGGGGGGUGCGAGCGUUAAUCGGAAUUACUGGGCGUAAAGAGUGCGUAGGCGGUUCGUUAAGUCAGAUGUGAAAGCCCUGGGCUCAACCUGGGAACUGCAUUUGAAACUGGCGAACUAGAGUUGGGUAGAGGGGAGUGGAAUUUCAGGUGUAGCGGUGAAAUGCGUAGAUAUCUGAAGGAACACCAGUGGCGAAGGCGACUCCCUGGACUCAAACUGACGCUGAGGUACGAAAGCGUGGGUAGCAAACAGG
rnacentral:rRNA from 1 species